rnacentral:lncRNA from 1 species
GGAGGAACCGAAGGGAAACACCCCUUGAGGCUCCCUGUUCGGCUUGUCCCCUGCCCUUCUCACCCUUCCCCGUUGGCACGAGAGCGAGGCGGGACCUGGGCGUGCGCCUGCAUAGAACGGAGAGCCGAGGGCGGGACGAGCACUGCGCCUGCGCACGGGAAGGAGUCGCGUCUGCAGGACAUCUCCGCAGUAACGAACGCGAGGAGAGUAUAACGCGCUUGCGCGGAGGAAGGGGGUGUUCUGGGCAAUACAAUGCGCCUGCGUGGGCCGGCCGCGGCUGGUCGGUGGCGGUGGAGCCGGUGGGAGCUCCCCGUGGGCCGGUAACAGCGGACGGGGCGCCACAGCCAGGAAUAAUGAGAGCAUGUUGGGUAGAACUGGCAAGAAACUCUCACUUGUUUGGAGCGUUCCUAACUUUUCUUUGGAUCUGCAGUGACACAAUCUAAUCAAAGGGACGGUGAGAGGACAGCAGAACAAAACAUAAAGGUAUGCACAAGUGUUGUGGUGAUCAGCGUACUGCAGAAAAGAAGUAAUCCGAUGCCGAAGAUCAAAACUUCUUAGAAGUGAGUACCCCCUGCCAAAAAGAGGAUACUAGUAAAGGCCAUCUGAGGCCUACAAGAGGCACAGCCUGCACAUGCUAUAUCAGCAUGUGGAACGAAAUCCAGGGUGUAUUUUGAGUUCUGUAAACAGUACUCAUGAUGAUCUCACAUUGCAGGCCACACUGAUAACUUGGCCUGCAAUGUGCAGGAGGUCAGACGGGAUCAUUGCGAGGGUCCCUUCUGGCCUCAAAGUCUGAGUCUUACUUGCCAGAAGCUUGGGAACUGCACUUAGCAAAUAUAGUCUCUUCUGCACUCCCAUGCCCCCAAAUCAUCCUGGGUCACAGUGUCAGGUCUGUGGGCUGAACCCCUGGACUCCAUCUUUGUUCUCCAGUCAGUGCGGUAAGAUGCAGUGAUCUGUUUUAGAGGUGAUUAGGGGACCGCCUGUCCCAUGGGAUACUUUCUGCCCUGCAGCUGAGAACGUGAUGGUUCAGGGACAGGAAGAGAUGAUGAUGAUGAUGAUGAAACUGCCAUGCUGCAAGGAUAUGUAAUGUAA